GCAAGUAUAGUUUCAACCCAAAAUAUUAGACUGUGACUCUAAAGAUAGAAGUUCAACUCUUCUUACUUGCC
rnacentral:tRNA from 1 species